rnacentral:rRNA from 1 species
AUUGAACGCUGGCGGCAGGCCUAACACAUGCAAGUCGAGCGGAUGAAGGGAGCUUGCUCCUGGAUUCAGCGGCGGACGGGUGAGUAAUGCCUAGGAAUCUGCCUGGCAGUGGGGGAUAACGUCCGGAAACGGGCGCUAAUACCGCAUACGUCCUGAGGGAGAAAGUGGGGGAUCUUCGGACCUCACGCUAUCAGAUGAGCCUAGGUCGGAUUAGCUAGUUGGUGGGGUAAAGGCCUACCAAGGCGACGAUCCGUAACUGGUCUGAGAGGAUGAUCAGUCACACUGGAACUGAGACACGGUCCAGACUCCUACGGGGGGCAGCAGUGGGGAAUAUUGGACAAUGGGCGAAAGCCUGAUCCAGCCAUGCCGCGUGUGUGAAGAAGGUCUUCGGAUUGUAAAGCACUUUAAGUUGGGAGGAAGGGCAGUAAGUUAAUACCUUGCUGUUUUGACGUUACCAACAGAAUAAGCACCGGCUAACUUCGUG